UACAGAGGGUGCGAGCGUUAAUCGGAAUUACUGGGCGUAAAGCGCGCGUAGACGGUUUUGUAAGUCAGAUGUGAAAUCCCUGGGCUCAACCUGGGAACUGCAUUUGAGACUGCAUGGCUAGAGUAUGGAAGAGGGAUGCGGAAUUCCAGGUGUAGCGGUGAAAUGCGUAGAUAUCGGGAGGAACACCAGUGGCGAAGGCGGCUUCCUGGCCUGUUCUUGACGCUGAGGCGCGAAAGCUAGGGGAGCAAACGGG
rnacentral:rRNA from 1 species